GGUAGCAUAAUCAAUAGUCUUUUAAUUGGAGACUGGAAUGAACGGCUAGAUAAAAAGUUUACUGUCUAUAUAAUAAAUCUUGAAUUUUACUUUUAAGUGAAAAGGCUUAAAUAUAUUAAAGUGACGAUAAGACCCUAUAAAACUUUAUAAUAAAUUAUGAUUAUCUUAAAUUUUAAAUCAAAAUAUAUUUCAUAUAUUACUAUUUAGUUGGGGCGACUGAGAUAUAAAAAAUCUGUCUUUAGUAAAAAAUACUUAUAAUUAGAUCAAGAUCCUUUAUUAAGGAUUAAAAGGCUAAGUUACUUUAGGGAUAACAGCGUGAUUUUUCUUAAGAGUUCUUAUCGACAGAAUAAGUUGCGACCUCGAUGUUGAAUUAAAUUUUCUUUUAGGUGCAGGAGUUUAAAAAGUAGGUCUGUUCGACCUUUAAAAAUUUACGUGAU
rnacentral:rRNA from 1 species